UGCCCCCUGGUGUAAUGGCAGCACAGAUGCCUUUGGAGCAUCUAGUCCAGGUUCGAACCCUGGGGGGGCAA
rnacentral:tRNA from 1 species